rnacentral:tRNA from 1 species
GGUGGCCUGCCCGAGCGGACGAAGGGGCACGCCUGGAAAGCGUGUAAGCGCAGGAAUGCGUUUCGAGGGUUCGAAUCCCUCGGCCACCG